UACGUUAGCGGCGGACGGGUGAGUAACACGUGGGUAACCUACCUAUAAGACUGGGAUAACUUCGGGAAACCGGAGCUAAUACCGGAUAAUAUUUCGAACCGCAUGGUUCGAUAGUGAAAGAUGGUUUUGCUAUCACUUAUAGAUGGACCCGCGCCGUAUUAGCUAGUUGGUAAGGUAACGGCUUACCAAGGCGACGAUACGUAGCCGACCUGAGAGGGUGAUCGGCCACACUGGAACUGAGACACGGUCCAGACUCCUACGGGAGGCAGCAGCC
rnacentral:rRNA from 1 species